AUGCCCCAGAUUAUAUAAGAAUGCUGCGUGGGAAGCUCCGGGUGUAUUGGCGCUAAUUACACAUUGCACACGUCCCGUCUAGCAUUUAUUGUUGAAUACAUAACGCCAAAAGUGUAACGCUGGACACUGCCCACAAGUAUGCUAGAAAUGUGUUCGACGAGCGUGUCCGGUACACUUGGUGUGAGGCGAGAUUGCAGCGGGCCUUCAACGCGGACGGGGGGCGGCGGAGAGCCCCCACUACAAUACGACUUUUGAUAAUACCGAAUAAAUAGCUCGUUGCCAGCUCAAUCUCAAGCUCAUGAUGUGACGUAGAGCUGUCUCUGUCGCUCAAUUCUUCAUGAAUUUCAAAUUUAGUUGAACAGUUUUAAAUUCAAAUUAAUGUAAACGGUACAUUUUAUUGAGUUAUUAGCACAAGUUCUUUUGCGAUUUCGGAGCAUAGCCUCUUUAUUCAAUACAUACAAGUAUAAUACUAGGCGAGCCCGUGAAAAUAAAUAUGGAUGUCCUAAUGUAUACGAACAAAUAGAUAUUUCUUGCCCAUUAUAUUUAAUAAAUUAGAUUUCUUUUGAUAGGCGGAGAAUUGUUAAGUAGUAAAACUUAAAUUGUAUACCUCUUGAAAGUAUGUAAAUUUGUCUAAAGUCUACAUUGGUUUUGAUAAAUGUACUCGUACUAGGUACAUUCACUGUAUACAGUGUUGUGAUUGUGAGUUUAAUUUCGCCAACUAACUGCUUUCGCAGUUUGUUGAGAAAUUGUAUAUCAAAUCUUUAACUCGCAAAGUCUGAGGGCCACUACCACUGCGCCCGUCACCCUGGGAGUUGAAAAGUUCCAUGUGCCUGUAAUUUCACCAGGAUGCCCCCUUUCUCGUAAAAACCAAAACAAUAAUAAUGGUCACAUUACAGUUUGGCGGUAGAAAUAGUUAAAGUAACAGUAUAGUAUUUUAAAAUGGAUUACAUCAUCUAACGUGGUGAUGUUGGCGCACGUGCACUUUUUCGCUCAUCUAAUGAACGAGCAUAAUUAAUGUCCAUUUGUACUCCCGCGUUGCAUGUGCUCGUCUCUGAUGGUGUAAG